GAGCGGUUGAGGAAGCUUGCUUCCUGAUUCAGCGGCGGACGGGUGAGUAAUGCCUAGGAAUCUGCCUGGUAGUGGGGGACAACGUUUCGAAAGGAACGCUAAUACCGCAUACGUCCUACGGGAGAAAGCAGGGGACCUUCGGGCCUUGCGCUAUCAGAUGAGCCUAGGUCGGAUUAGCUAGUUGGUGAGGUAAUGGCUCACCAAGGCGACGAUCCGUAACUGGUCUGAGAGGAUGAUCAGUCACACUGGAACUGAGACACGGUCCAGACUCCUACGGGAGGCAGCAGUGGGGAAUAUUGGACAAUGGGCGAAAGCCUGAUCCAGCCAUGCCGCGUGUGUGAAGAAGGUCUUCGGAUUGUAAAGCACUUUAAGUUGGGAGGAAGGGCAGUCAGCGAAUACCUUGCUGUCUUGACGUUACCGACAGAAUAAGCACCGGCUAACUCUGUGCCAGCAGCCGCGGUAAUACAGAGGGUGCAAGCGUUAAUCGGAAUUACUGGGCGUAAAGCGCGCGUA
rnacentral:rRNA from 1 species